AUGCAGGAAAUCCUCAAAUUAGCCUCUUCAGUCUUUUACAACUGAGAGCAGAAUAAAGAGGACAGAGGGAAAAAGAAGAACAAACACAAAGAUAAGAGGCAGGCUCAACUAUUGGCUGCUUUAUAAGCUCUCCAGUCCCCUCCAGGUCAUCCUAAGGACACUCCUCCAGGACUCUCAUGGCAACACAUAGUACAAACCAUGACUUCCUAACAGAAAGGGAAAUGACUUCUGUCUAAUUCAAAGAAUAUUA
rnacentral:lncRNA from 10 species